UUUGAGACAGAGUCUGGCUCUACCGCCCAGGCUGAAGUGCAAUGGCGCGAUCUCGGCUCACUGCAAGCUCCGCCUCCCGGGUUCACGCCAUUCUCCUGCCUCAGCCUCCCGAGUAGCUGGGACUACAGGAUUUGCUUGAGCCCAGGGGUUCAAGGCUGCAAUGAGCCAUGAUAGCACCACUGCACUCCAGCCUGGGCAACAGUGAGAACUUGUCUCAUAAAAUAAAAUAAUAAAAUAGAUUAGCCAGGAUGCUCUCUGGGACCAAUGAUCAUCCUAUAUCAAACCAGCCUAAACAAAAAAGUGUUUUUGGUAACUGGAAUGGAUCCAACAGGAAGAAUGAGCUUAUGGAACCAGAGCACCUUGAAAAACUUGACAGCCCAGGAGUG
rnacentral:lncRNA from 10 species